CCUGGCGGCGAUAGCGCGGUGGUCCCACCUGACCCCAUGCCGAACUCAGAAGUGAAACGCCGUAGCGCCGAUGGNNGUAGCGCCGAUGGUAGUGUGGGGUCUCCCCAUGUGAGAGUAGGGAACUGCCAGGC
rnacentral:rRNA from 1 species